GAUCCUGGCUCAGGAUGAACGCUGGCGGCGUGCUUAACACAUGCAAGUCGAACGAUUGAAGCUGGAGCUUGCUCCGGCCGAUUUAGUGGCGGACGGGUGAGUAACGCGUGGGUAACCUGCCUCAUACAGGGGGAUAGCAGUUGGAAACGACUGGUAAAACCGCAUAAGCGCACGGUAUCGCAUGAUACAGUGUGAAAACACUCCGGUGGUAUGAGAUGGACCCGCGUCUGAUUAG
rnacentral:rRNA from 1 species